rnacentral:rRNA from 1 species
GAUGAACGCUGGCGGCGUGCCUAAUACAUGCAAGUCGAACGCACACUUAAAAAGUUUACUUUGAGAGUGUGAGUGGCGAACGGGUGAGUAAUACAUAAAUAAUCUACCUCUACGACUGGGAUAACCAUUGGAAACGAUGGCUAAAACCGGAUAGGAUCUUAGAAGACAUCUUCAGAGAUUUAAAGGUGGGAUACACUACGUAGAGAUGAGUUUAUGGCGCAUUAGCUAGUUGGUGAGAUAAAAGCCCACCAAGGCGAUGAUGCGUAGCCGACCUGAGAGGGUGACCGGCCACACUGGGACUGAGACACGGCCCAGACUCCUACGGGAGGCAGCAGUAGGGAAUUUUCGGCAAUGGGGGGAACCCUGACCGAGCGACGCCGCGUGAGUGAAGAAGGCCUUCGGGUUGUAAAACUCUGUUAUCGGGGAAGAAAUACAUAAAGAGGGAAUGCUUUAUGUUUGACGGUACCCGAUGAGGAAGCCACGGCUAACUACGUG